AGCCUGGGCGACACAGGGAGACUCUGUCUCAAAAAAAUAAAAAUCACUUAAAUUAUCUGUAAAUCAUACCAGGUUGCCCUUUUCCAACAAAUCACAGGCGAUGUAACCUGUCAACAUUGUUACUAUUAUUCCAGCCAACAUGCAGUGACCAGCCAUCCGUAUCUGGGCAGUGAGGUUGAGGGAGUCCACUCUCUGUCCCUGUCAGGCUGUGUGCCUUGGACUGUAUGGUGGAACUCUCCAAGCCUCACCCCCCAUCCCCACCUCCCCACUCCCCACCUGUCUGAGCUGGAAUGAGAAGGGCAGCUUAGCAAAAGGCCAAGGUAGAUGAGCUCACCAUCUACCAAGAGCAGUGUGGGGCCUGCUUGCAGGGUUAACUUUCCAAGUUGAAGCCAGACACCCCCAAACUAGAGAAUCACCCCACAUACAAACAGCAGGACCAGACCUUGGUAUCUGUGUUCCCCCAACCCCAACAAAUAAUGGCAAAACCUAAGCCAGCACUGCAAUGAAUGUUGGCCAUUUAGGUAAGUGUCCCCUUAUUGUGGGGUUUCAUGUAUGUUUCCACCUCCCCCACCAGGCUGUGAGCACCAGAAGGGAGAGCUGGGCCUGUCUUGGUCACCCCUGGGUCCUCAGAGCCCAGCACGUAGAUGGGCUCUCCACUGAUGUUCGUCGAAUGAAUACAUGAAAAUAUCUUGUAUCUCUGUAUUCCCACCACCCAGAGCAAACUGUAGCCCUGAUCCAAAUGAAUUGCUGAGCCCUCAA
ensembl:lncRNA novel transcript